rnacentral:lncRNA from 1 species
GUCCUCCAGGGGGAGCAGGAAUAUCUUGGUGCCUGUAGGGUGGAGAGGGGAGAAAUGGAGCUCUGCAGCCCUGAUCCUCAGAGCAGGGCUCAGAUGUGUUGGUGCAUGAAUGAAAUAUCCCACCUCAAGUGUAUGUCGUGGGCAUGUUUUGAGUUGGUUUUGCAGAGACACUGCAGAGCUCUGCAGACACAGGAGUGAUUCUGAAAAGCUGUCUUUCUGUAAUUGAUCCAAUAGACAGCGGAUGCGGGCUGGGAUCCCCCCCCACUCCCCCGUCUGCCUUGGAAAGAGCCCUUCACAGGAAGAAGAGAUGGGGUCUGGCACCCGGCCCAGGCAGAGGCGACCCCAGCUGGCUGCUACCUGGGAGACUCCAUCUGCAUCACCAGACAGCCCUGUGGGUGUGCUCCUCCUCCGAGCCCUCCACAGCCUGCUGCACCUCCUCCCCAGGAGCCCAGCCCUGCCGCCCGGUCAAGCUCUGUAGAAGCUCCAGCCAUCUUGGCCCUCGCGGGCCACAUGUGUGUGAGUCCCCUGCUUCUCGGCCAGGUAAUGAAAUCUGAAUGUUCUGUUCUUGCUGUCAGUUUACCUUAUAGACUGAAAUUGUUCAAACCUCAGAGAGAAGAAAGUAAAUUUAAAAACCUGUAUAUUCUUGGAAUAAGUCCACGGCCCCCUAAAGGACAGGGUUGGACCAGCUGUUGGAAGAACGAGAAGCUAAGAGAUGGUUCAUAGAAGGGACAUAGUGUCCACUAAAGCACGGGAGAGGAGGAAAUAUAUUUGAGUAUAUAUUCAAAAUUCUCUACCCCUCAGUGUACCUGGCAAAGUCCACAUUUCAAGGUUAUAGUCAGAGACGGUGUUUAAAUUCCCAAACGUCAAAGAGGACAUCCUGAGCGCCGUUAAGCCGUCUUCUUCGUCCUGAGUUUGUGGAGUAGUUUGCCCUCCUCUUGGGUGCACUGGUCACUGUGGGGUGGUCAGGAGAAGAGAUCUGCUCCGAGAUCUCUGCUUUAUUACUUUGAAAAACCCCAUCAUUUUCUGAUGGACUGGGUCCCUACAUGGUCUGUAAUUCAAAUGGCGUGUUAAUCUGCACCUCAUCCAACAAGGUGAUCCAUGCAUCGGGCUCUCGGAGCAAGCUGUGGAUCUUUAACAACAGACACUUUUUUCUUUUAACUAAUAAGAAAGACACACAGAAGGUGUCGGGUCUAUGAAGCCAACUGUGCGCAUCGAAUGAGCUGACCCAGGGAGGGAGUUAGAGUUCACUGACCUUUUAAAAAUUAUCUGAAAGGAUGAAUUUCCCCCCACCUCUCUGGCAAACCUGUUUGAUGGAGUACACUCUAGAACUUGGUUUCUUAACAUAGCAGAUGCUUAACACAGAGUCUCUGAUUCAAUUUAUAUGCUCACGAUGGCUCAUGUUCUUUUCCGGGCUUCAAGAGUACACUUUUAUCCCAAAAUUACUUUCCCCUACUGAUGUAUCUUCUUUGAAGUUAGGGGCAGGAGUGUGGUAUUCUGGUGCCACGUUGAGGUACCCAGGAAUGGCACAGUGCUGGCCGGGGCAGCGGCUCUGCUUGGAAAUUUUGAGAUAAAUGCAGCUGCAAUAAUUUUUGAUUCAACCCUUGGCAAACCUCCAGUGUGUACAGAAGGGGGAACCAGCUGUGGAGGAGGCUUCUUCUCAGCCCUCUAGGAUGGCCAAGGAGCUCAUGACCUCUCAGCACCCUGGGACGAAGUCAGCCUCGAGGCAGGAGUCCACCUACUUGUGCAGCCUGGCCAGGCACGUUGUAAGUGAGCACUGACUAUUAGCGUCUUUUAGAAUCGUUAGUAUUUGGAAUUAUUCAUUUCCCAGGGUUCCAUUAGAGAUGCUACACUUUUCUUUAACACGCAAAAUAAUGUGUAUGUAAGAUCCUGCUGCAGGCCCGAAAGGGCAGCGAGAAAUUCUUAGUGCCACUGUAUUUGAGCUUCACGAUUGUGGGCCACAUUUGUGUCUCAACACACGAGGUCUCUCAGAUCUCGGCUGAGACAGACAGGUGUCCUGCAGAACAAGUUCAAGAGCUGUCGUCACUGAGAAAGAAAUUUUUAAUUUUCUUUCAGUUUCAUAUCAGAUUUCUUUUCUUUUUUUAAAAAAUAAUUUUUAGUUGUAGACGGACACAAUACUUUUAUUUUAUUUAUUUAGACGAGUUGCUGAGGAUCAAGCCCAGGGCCUCACACGUGCCAAGCAAGCCCUCUACCUCUGGGCCUAGCCCCCGCCUUCAAAUCCGCUUUCUGUAUCACCAGUUCUCCAUGGUUCAGGGUUUUCUCAGAGAACCAGAUAAGUUUAGCAGCUGAGAAGCCGCCACCUCCUGGGUCUGACUCCCCUCUGGGCUCCCAGGAGGAUGAGGAUUUGGAACUUGCCCUAGAUGUAUAUCCUCCUCGGGCUGCGCUGGGCCCUGGCGUUUCCUGUCCUGUACUGGGAACCAGCAGCUUUCUGAAUUAUCUCACAGGACAUUUCCUGAUCUGUGAAUCUUUACAGCACAGAGAUCAUGUUUUUCCUUUCACCAUCCUCCGAUGCUUGGUCUCCAAGGGACAUGUGUGUAUUUCAUUACAACCCCACGGUUUCCCGCGCUCGAUGAUAAAUAUGUGGGUUACAGUGUGCACAUUCAUACUGAACACCAAAGGUCACCAGUCAGAUUUAUGGCUUGUUACAUCAUUUUACUGUGGGGCUGAUUCAUUAGAUCAGUUUAUUUAGCAAUUAAAUAAUAUUAAAUAAGGCGACUGUACCAACUUACACCAGCCCUGGGUUGGCUGACUCCACCACCUCCUCCCUCUUCUAAUCUCUACUUGAUAAGGGCGAUCUGUACUCACAGGGACAGGCCUUCACUGUGGGAUGCAGCAUGAACUCAUGAGAAGCACUGUCUCACCAAGAGACACUGCCCAUUAACAGUAUUCUAUCUCAUAGGGGCCAUGGAGCAUGCCUAUAAUCCCAGCUAUUUGGGAGGCUGAGGCAGGAGGAUCACAAGUGUGAGGCUGGCCGCAGCAAUUUAGGCAGUCUCAAAAUAAAAACUAAAAAGAGCUGGAUGUGGCUCAGUGGUAGAGCACUCCUGGGUUCAAUAAAAAUAAAAAGGCAGGGGGUUGUUCUAUCAGAACCCUGAGUUUCCCUGAACCUAGAAGCAGGAGAGCCCCUCUUUGGUCAGAUGGACCCCUACCUUUAUUUAAUUUAUUUAUUUUACUGGGGUGCUGAGGCUCGAACCCAGUGCCUCACAGGUGCUAGGUGAAUGCUCUGUCAAUGAGCCACAACCCCAUUCCAUCUUACAGUUUUUAACUUAAAAAAAAAAUUUUAGAUUCACAGAACACUUGCAAAAUAGUAGAGUGCCUUCCCACACACCUUUCACCAGCUUCCUCAUGUUAGUGUGCUAAAGCCAGAGUCCUGUGGUCAAGACCAGCAGCGUUGACACGGCACUAUUAGGUUAUCUCCCCAUAACGUCCUUUUCUGGUGCAGGAUCCAGUCCGGGCCUCUUUCACCCAUCCUCACAUCUCCGUGGGCUCCUCCCAGUCCGUGUCUUCCACAACCUUGACCCUUUUGAAACGUACUGGUCAUCUAUUUUGUGGAACGUUCCUCAAUUUGGAGUUUGUUGAAGUUUUCUUACAAUUAAAGUUUUGCAUUCUUCACAAGAAAACCCAGAGGCCGUCCUGUGCCCUCAAAAAGCUUGCCGUGUUGGGGGCAGGGAGGGGAGGCACCAGGAGACACUCAUCUAAUUAGUUCUGGUACCUGGGUCUACUAUUUUCCCUUUGUAAAUAAUAAAUGUUUUAUUUACUUAUUUUUAAUUUGGUACUAGAGACUAAACCCAGGGCACUUAGCCACUGAGCCACAUCUUCAGCCCUUUUUACGUUGAGACAGGGCCUCCCCAAGUUGAUGAGGCUGGCCUUGAACUUGCAAUCCUCCUGCCUCAGCCUCCUAGUCUCUGGGAUUAUAGAUGCUGCACCACUGCGUCCAGCAUGAACAAUAACUCUUUUAGAGGAGAUAUUUGGGACUUUGCAAAUAUUCUGCUUCUCUUAAACUUUCCCCUAUUCUCUUACUAUUCAAUGCAAGAUCUCACUUGCAAUGAUUUCUACACUUCUCUAAUGGAAACCUUCUGUUGCCCCCCAUUCUUUCUAUACUUAUUAGCUAGAGUUUUAUUAUAAGGGGAAAAUGCCCUUUCUUCCCAUUUAUUUAUUCAGUUAUUUGUUUAUAUCCAGAUGGACCCAUGAGUAAUUAUUCUAUUGGGGGGUUAGAAGCCCUUAUUAUCAGUAUUUUAUUUUUGCUCAAAUUGUCUCAGUUUCAUCAUUGGAAUCCCCUUUGCAUGGGCUCUUGAGUCCUUUUGACAUGACCUUCGUUUUUUGAGGUUUCCUUAUUUACUGUCACCCCAAGAUGGUGCGGGUUCAUUUUGUGUUCUCUGAGGAGCCCUGGGUUCACCUGUUGAAGAUGGAGUUUAUAAACCAAGGUGGGCACGCUGCAGGGCUCCUUGCCUCGGGGCCCUCUGUACACACAUCUGUGUCCCUUGUGUGUUUAUUCUUCAGUGUGUGUGAAUCACGAGCUGGUGCUGAGCCCUUUGAGUCAAGCACAGCACUUCCGGCUUCCUCCAGCCUUCUCUUUCUUCUUAGCCACUUCUUUCCCCAGCAGUGAAACCAUGGCUCUCGCUGACUGCAGCGUGUUUACUUAUUUGUUCCAUCAACAUACGAGCGUGGAGCGGUUUGGAGCUGUGGGUGCACAGCCCUGUGGGGACGAGCCAACUAACUGGAGUGUGUCUAGUUAUGUCCACUUUCCUUCCUGCUCAGCGCUGUAGAGAGCAGCAGGAUCCUGGUUCCCAGGUCACUUAAGUCAGACUCUCCUCCGCACCCUCCUCGGGGUGUUGUGCUAUCCGAUUGUGACGCCCCUGGGUGUAUUUUAGUGCUUGUGUCAUGUCAGGUUGCUCCACAUCUUGGUUGGUGCAAAUACUCACUUUUCGGUGGUGUGUUUGGGGAGGGCAACGUAGGAAACUCAGAGCUACGCGGCGAUGUGUGUCCCGAGGAUCACUGUUCUCCCUUGCUGCAGUUGGGUCUUGAAAGUCCCCUAAAGGCCCAUGUGUCGAAGGCGUGGUCCCCGGGGGUGGAGCUCUCGGGAGGUGACGGAACCUUUAGAAGGUGGGUCCUGGUGGGAGGGAGUGAGGUCAUUGGGGGUAUACUCUUGAGGGGGCCCUGGGACCCUGGCCCCUUCCUGCCGCUCUCUUCUCUUCCUGGUGGCCACCAGGG